rnacentral:rRNA from 1 species
GCCAGGCUGUCUCCACCCGAGACUCAGUGAAAUUGAACUCGCUGUGAAGAUGCAGUGUACCCGCGGCAAGACGGAAAGACCCCGUGAACCUUUACUAUAGCUUGACACUGAACAUUGAGCCUUGAUGUGUAGGAUAGGUGGGAGGCUUUGAAGUGUGGACGCCAGUCUGCAUGGAGCCGACCUUGAAAUACCACCCUUUAAUGUUUGAUGUUCUAACGUGGACCCGUUACCCGGGUUGCGGACAGUGUCUGGUGGGUAGUUUGACUGGGGCGGUCUCCUCCUAAAGAGUAACGGAGGAGCACGAAGGUUGGCUAAUCCUGGUCGGACAUCAGGAGGUUAGUGCAAUGGCAUAAGCCAGCUUGACUGCG